GCUGGUGUAGCUUAAUCUAAAGCAUAACACGAAGAGUAAGAUGAAUCCUAGAAAAUUCCACAGGCA
rnacentral:tRNA from 1 species